rnacentral:rRNA from 1 species
UGAGGAAUAUUGGUCAAUGGGGCGGAAGCCUGAACCAGCCAAGUCGCGUGAGGGAAGACGGUCCUACGGAUUGUAAACCUCUUUUGCCGGGGAACAACGGGCUUCACGUGUGGAGCUGUGAGUGUACCCGGAGAAAAAGCAUCGGCUAACUCCGUGCCAGCAGCCGCGGUAAUACGGAGGAUGCGAGCGUUAUCCGGAUUUAUUGGGUUUAAAGGGAGCGUAGGCCGUCGUUUAAGCGUGUUGUGAAAUGCCGCGGCUCAACCGUGGCACUGCAGCGCGAACUGGAUGACUUGAGUUCGCGGGAGGUAGGCGGAAUUCGUGGUGUAGCGGUGAAAUGCUUAGAUAUCACGAAGAACUCCGAUUGCGAAGGCAGCUUACCGUAGCGUUACUGACGCUGAAGCUCGAAAGUGCGGGUAUCGAACAGGAUUAGAUACCCUGGUAGU